UGUGGUUUAAUUUGAUGAUACGCGAGGAACCUUACCAAGGCUUAAAUGGGAAAUGACAGGCUUAGAAAUAGGCUUUUCUUCGGACAUUUUUCAAGGUGCUGCAUGGUUGUCGUCAGCUCGUGCCGUGAGGUGUUAGGUUAAGUCCUGCAACGAGCGCAACCCCUGUCACUAGUUGCCAUCAUUAAGUUGGGGACUCUAGUGAGACUGCCUACGCAAGUAGAGAGGAAGGUGGGGAUGACGUCAAAUCAUCACGGCCCUUACGCCUUGGGCCACACACGUAAUACAAUGGCCGGUACAGAGGGCAGCUACACUGCGAAGUGAUGCAAAUCUCGAAAGCCGGUCUCAGUUCGGAUUGGAGUCUGCAACUCGACUCUAUGAAGCUGGAAUCGCUAGUAAUCGCGCAUCAGCCAUGGCGCGGUGAAUACGUUCCCGGGCCUUGUACACACCGCCCGUCAAGCCAUGGAAGUCUGGGGUACCUGAAGUCGGUGACCGUAACAGGAGCUG
rnacentral:rRNA from 1 species